UACGAAGGGGGCUAGCGUUGCUCGGAAUCACUGGGCGUAAAGCGCACGUAGGCGGACUCUUAAGUCAGGGGUGAAAUCCUGGAGCUCAACUCCAGAACUGCCUUUGAUACUGGCGAUCUCGAGUCCGGGAGAGGUGAGUGGAACUGCGAGUGUAGAGGUGAAAUUCGUAGAUAUUCGCAAGAACACCAGUGGCGAAGGCGGCUCACUGGCCCGGUACUGACGCUGAGGUGCGAAAGCGUGGGGAGCAAACAGGG
rnacentral:rRNA from 1 species